AAAAGUUUAGGAGACGUAAAAUCACUAGAACUUCCAGAUGGUAUCGGUGACAUAUUGCGUUUCUGGACUCUCUCAAGUUUAGUAUUAUUGAACUUUAUCCUACACAAAUUAUGGUACUUGGCAUUUUCUUUUUUCAUUGUGCUUUCAAUACCCUCUCCGUGGUUUAAUCGCCGAAUAUCAAGAGGGAUAGGGAGGGCAUUUAAUUCAUGAAAAAGAUGGAUAGUU
rnacentral:lncRNA from 1 species